rnacentral:rRNA from 1 species
UGGGGAAUAUUGGACAAUGGGCGAAAGCCUGAUCCAGCCAUGCCGCGUGUGUGAAGAAGGCCUUUUGGUUGUAAAGCACUUUAAGUGGGGAGGAAAAGCUUAUGGUUAAUACCCAUAAGCCCUGACGUUACCCACAGAAUAAGCACCGGCUAACUCUGUGCCAGCAGCCGCGGUAAUACAGAGGGUGCAAGCGUUAAUCGGAAUUACUGGGCGUAAAGCGGUAGGUGGUUAUUUAAGUCAGAUGUGAAAGCCCCGGGCUUAACCUGGGAACUGCAUCUGAUACUGGAUAACUAGAGUAGGUGAGAGGGGAGUAGAAUUCCAGGUGUAGCGGUGAAAUGCGUAGAGAUCUGGAGGAAUACCGAUGGCGAAGGCAGCUCCCUGGCAUCAUACUGACACUGAGGUGCGAAAGCGUGGGUAGCAAACAGGAUUAGAUACCCUGGUAGUCCACGCCGUAAACGAUGUCUACCAGUCGUUGGGUCUUUUAAAGACUUAGUGACGCAGUUAACGCAAUAAGUAGACCGCCUGGGGAGUACGGCCGCAAGGUUA